rnacentral:rRNA from 1 species
CAGUCGCCGCGGUAAUACGUAGGUGGCGAGCGUUGUCCGGAAUCAUUGGGCGUAAAGGGAGCGCAGGCGGGCAUGUAAGUCUUUCUUAAAAGUUCGGGGCUCAACCCCGUGAUGGGAAAGAAACUACAUGUCUUGAGUACAGGAGAGGAAAGCGGAAUUCCCAGUGUAGCGGUGAAAUGCGUAGAUAUUGGGAGGAACACCAGUGGCGAAGGCGGCUUUCUGGACUGCAACUGACGCUGAGGCUCGAAAGCCAGGGGAGCGAACGGGAUUAGAUACCCGUGUAGUCCAUGUCUCUUAUACA